AUGAACGCUGGCGGCGUGCCUCAUACAUACCAGUCGCGCGAACAGACGAGGAGCUUGCUCCUCUGACGUUAGCGGCGGACGGGUGAGUAACACGUGGAUAACCUACCUAUAAGACUGGGAUAACUUCGGGAAACCGGAGCUAAUACCGGAUAAUAUAUUGAACCGCAUGGUUCAAUAGUGAAAGACGGUUUUGCUGUCACUUAUAGAUGGAUCCGCGCCGCAUUAGCUAGUUGGUAAGGUAACGGCUUACCAAGGCAACGAUGCGUAGCCGACCUGAGAGGGUGAUCGGCCACACUGGAACUGAGACACGGUCCAGACUCCUACGGGAGGCAGCAGUAGGGAAUCUUCCGCAAUGGGCGAAAGCCUGACGGAGCAACGCCGCGUGAGUGAUGAAGGUCUUCGGAUCGUAAAACUCUGUUAUUAGGGAAGAACAAAUGUGUAAGUAACUAUGCACGUCUUGACGGUACCUAAUCAGAAAGCCACGGCUAACUACGUG
rnacentral:rRNA from 1 species